rnacentral:tRNA from 1 species
UGGGACCAUAGCUCAGCUGGGAGAGCACCUGCCUUACAAGCAGGGGGUCACAGGUUCGAGCCCNGAGCGUUCGGUUCAUACCCGAAAGGUCAUAG